rnacentral:lncRNA from 1 species
AAAUUUGUUUUCAAAGGAAUAUUUUUAAAAAGGUUUUUAAAAUGUGAGUGGGUAUAUUUUCCAAAAUAUCUGGGUUUUAAUGCUUUCACAAAUAUGAGACAACUUGGCUAUGUGGAUGAAAUAUGUUGCAGGCUAUAUCAGUAAACAAAGAAUAUUUGGGUCAUCAAACCAGUGGCCACUGCAGCUGCCCCCAAUUGUGCACCCUGAGGGGAUUCAGGAUGGGGACUAGCAGGAUACUGGUCCUAGAUAAUUAAGGUGCAUAAUCAAAGGAACCCAACAUAUUUGAGCUUCUGGUACCCAACCGCCCCCAGAGCAGAAGCACUGCUCCAGGAACUUCUCCCCACAGAAGUGGCUGUGGGUGCAGCUGCGGCACAGGUCAUUAUGCUGCCUGCACAUUGCUGUAUAGUGUAGGACCAGCUGCCAGGGCUUCACUGCUGGGUGUCCCCACUUUUUUGGUCUUCAGGCUCACCCAUUGGAAGUCCUCACGUGCAGAUUGCACAGCAUGUGGGUCAUGUCUGGUCGCUGAAGCUGGCAAGCCUCGGGGUCUAUGCCCAGUGGUCGUGUUCCUGCAGAUGUCCGCACGCAGUUGUGCCCCUGUGCUCCAAGCCUGACCCCAGCGGUGAGCACUUUGUAUUAAAUAUAGGAUGGCUUUGAUUAUGCAUUAUUUCUCAACUGAGUUAUAGCAUGAGGAGGUGAAUGAUCUUCUAUGAAAGCCUUUACACAAAUGAGGGUUAUAUAAGUGUGUAUCUAAAUAUCUAUAUAUAUCUACACGCAUAUAGGAGUCAUUCUGAACAAAAGAACUGAAAUGGGAUACUAUUUAAUGGUCAUUGUCAUUGGUUGUUUUGUAAGUUAUUCUGUAGAACAAGGGCAAAGAACCUGGGAAUUAAUUAGAGUUCUCACCAGAGCAUGUGAUUGCUGUUCCCACUUAGUACUGAGGUAAACUUGACUUUCUUUUCUAGAUAACAUUAAGUAGAAGGUGUUUUUUUUUUCCCCUCUCAAGCAUGACUUUUAUUUAAAGUUUUUAUCAAUUUUGGACUCUGUAGCAAAUAUUGAAUACAUCUUGUGUAAUAGAUGACUCAUAGUUGUUGGCUCAAGAAAAUCUAUAUUUUUAAUUCUACUUAGUCUAAAUAAAUGCUUUUUGUAAUGAGUGCUCAUGGUUAGAAAUGGAUUAAAUAAACUCUCGGAAAAAAAAACAAAAACAAAACCAAAAACAACCGACAUUCCCACUCCCACCCAAACAAAUAAAAAUUGAGUUUCUUUUUCAAUCUUUUAAAAGAUUUUUUUUUGUUGUCCUUUGGCUUGAAUGUCGCAAUACAUUAUAUUUUAAUCCAAGGCAGGAAAAAAUAGGGGGCAUUAUGGUAUAGCAGUUGAGAGGACUGACUUUAGUCCAUCAGAGACAGGGGUUCAAGGCUUCUAUCUGCUACUUACCUGUCUGAUCAUAAGAUCUUAGGAAAAUGAGGCCUCAGUCUUCCCAUUAACAUAAGGAAGGAAGCUGAUUUAAACUUAUAGGGUUACUGUAAGCAUUCAGUGAAUGUGUGUAAACUAUUUAGCCCAGUACCUGUUAUGUUGCUUAGUUAUCAUUUAUUUGAUUUUAUUGGACUUUUUUUCUGGAGAUAAUCAGUUGUCUGAAUUUCAGCUUUCUUUUCCCCCCAACCCAGUGACCAUCAUCUUACCUUUUUCUCUUUUUUCUUUUUUUCUUUUUUUUGUCUGCCCCACAGCCUAUGGAAGUUCUAGGUUAAGGAUCAGAUCCAAGCCUCAGUUGCAACCUUCCAUGCCACAGCUGCAGCAAUGUUGGUUUUUUUGUUUUGUUUUGUUUUCAGGGCCAUAUCUGCAGCACGUGGAAGUUCCUAGGCUAAGGGUUGAAUCUGAACUACAGCUGCUGGUCUACGCCACAGCAAAGUGGGAUCUGAGCCGUGUCUUUGACCUACACAAUUCAUGGCAACACUGGAUCCUUAACCCACUGAAUGAGGCUAGGGAUUGAACCCACAUCCUCAUGGAUACUAGUCGGGUUUAUAACAUGCUGAGCCACAAUGGGAGCUCCCCGAAUCCUUUAACUCACUAUGCUGGGCCAGGGAUUGAAUAUGCAUCCUGGUGCUACAGAGAUGCCACUGAUCCCAUUGUGCCAUAGCAGAAACUCCACCUCUUAUUUUAGUAUUUACCUCUAUAUUUUAUGAGUAAACAAGUUUAUUCUCAUUUUUCCUUUUAUCGAACCUACCUUUUUCCUCUCUUUAGUUUUUUUUUUCUUUUUUAAGGACCACACCUGAGGCAUAUGGUGUUGAAUCAGAGCUGUGCUGCCCAACUAUGCCACAGCCACAUCAAUGCCAGCUCCUUAACCCACUGAGCAAGGCCAGGGAUCACACAUGCAUCCUCAUGAAUAUUAGUUAGGUUCUUAACCUGCUGAGCCACAGCAGGAACUCCACCACCCUAGAUUUUCAUUUUGUUGUUGUGGUUCCAAAACUUUUUAUUUUUACUUUUAGGGCCGCACCUGUGGCAUAUGGAAGUUCCCAGGCUAGCAGAUGAAUCAGAGUUGCAGCCACUGGCCUACAACACAGCUCACGGCAAUGCCAGAUUCUUAGCCCACUGAGUGAGGCCAGGGAUCGAACCCGCAUCUUUAUGAAUACUGGCCGGGUUCAUUACCACUGAGCCACAACGGGAACUCCAUCACCCUAGAUUUUAAUUCUGUUAAUGUGAUUCCAAAGCUUUUUUUUUUUUUUUUAAAGAAGCAAAGGCUUUAUUACAAAACUUUCUAAAGUCAUGAAAUAUAAUGUGCAUGUGGAAAAGUAUAUAUAUCCUAAAUAUACACAUUGAGAAACUCUAAGAGAAUAAGCCAUGUGUACCAGCCUAGGUUAAGAAACAGAACAUGGCAGUGUUCCUGAGGCUUCCCACCUGCCUUGUCCCAGGUACAAACCCCUUUUUUUUUCCUCUCAAAGUUUCUUCUGACCUUGAUGAUAAUUGCUGCCUUAUUUUUUAAAUAGUUUUGACAUCCUAAGUAUUCAUCGCUUAAUAUCAUCGUUUAGCUUUUAAACUUUAUAUACAAGAAAUCAACCAAUAUGAAUUUUUUUUGUCUGGCUUCUUCCACAAGUCAUUGUAUUUGUGGCACUCAUCUGUCUUGUGAUUCGCUGUAGGCUGCACAUUUUCAUUUCUGUCUAGUAUCCCUUUGUUGUGUAUAUCACCACACUGUAGUGUCUGCCAUGGGACAGUUGGGUUGUUUAUGGUUUUUGGCUACUAAAAAUGCGGCUAUAAACAUUCUUUAAAUAAUUUUAAAAAUACAAAUUAUAUGUAUUUAAGAUAUACAACCUACUUUUAAGUACAUAUACAUGGUGAAAUGAUUACUGCAGUCAAACUAAUGAACAUAUUUUCUCCUCAUACAGUUUUUUUUUUUUUUUUUUUUUUUUUUUUUUUGUGAUUAGAACACCCGAAAUCUCUCUCAGCAAAUUUCCAGUAUUUGAUAUGGUAUUAUAAACUUGAAAUUUGUAUCCUGGUGUGCCCAAUGAUAUUGUUUGUAGUAAAUGUUAUAUCCACGAGAGGGUUUAUUAGCUAAUGGAGCAUCCAUAUAAUCAAGUCUAACAGACAUUGUCAUACCAUUCACCAGGGCAAUGCUGUGUGCUAUAGUGCUUUUAUUUCCUUAAAAUCAGUCAUUUUUACCCUCUUAUUUCAGCCUGCUCCUUCUUUGUCCAGCUUUUCUUCAUUCGAUCCUGUGUCUUUUUAUACUGUUCUUAGAAUACCAAGCAGUUUGGAAAUUUUUUUUUCUGGAGUUUAAGAAGAUUUGAUUUUCAGAAGUUAGCUGUGUUUUUCCUGGUCUUUUCCAUAGUGUUCUCUUCUCUUUAUCUUGUGUUUUUUUUCCCCCCGUAGACUCGUGGUGGCUUUUCUUCUUUUCUUUGAACAAGGUGCGAUGCUCCACAGACAGGGUGAGUAGACUUUUUCUUGUUCCCCUUCACCCAUAUCUUCCACAAACUGUAUUGAGGUAUUGAUAUGGUCUCUUUGUUGGAGGAGAUGUGAAGGGCAGGUUGGUGUAUUGUGCUUUCAACCCAAUUUCUCAUUUCUAAGUAGGCAUUUUUUCAGCUGACAUACCAUCUGUUUUUAAUGCUUGAUUCUGUGAUAUGUGAACCACUAUAAUGCACAAAAACUUCAAUCCUGGGUUUACCGUUGUGGCUCAGCAGGUUAAGGACAUGAUGUUGUCUCUGUGAGGAUGCAGGUUUAAUCCCUGGCCUCACUCAGUGGGUUAAGGAUCCAGUUUGCCGUGAGGUGUGGCAAGGCUUGGAUCCCGCCUUACUGUGGCUGUGGUGUAGGCUGGCAGCUGCCACUCCGAUUUGAGCCCUAGCCUAGGAACUU